rnacentral:rRNA from 1 species
CUGGUUGAUCCUGCCAGUAGUCAUAUGCUUGUCUCAAAGAUUAAGCCAUGCAUGUCUAAGUACAAGCCUCAGUAAGGUGAAACCGCGAAUGGCUCAUUAAAUCACACCUAAUCUACUGGAAAGUUACAAGUUACUUGGAUAAAUGAGGUAAUUCUUGAGCUAAUACAUGCGAAAAAUCUCGACUAACGGAGAGAUGCUUUUAUUAGAUCUAAACCAAACGGCUUCGGCAGUAACAUUGGUGACUCUGAAUAACUUUGGGCUGAUCGUAUGGCCUUGUGCCGACGACGUUUCCUUCUAAGGG